CUUUAUAUAAAUAAAAUUAACAAAUAAAAUUAUAUUAUAUAUUAUACACUCUCUCUCUCUCUUUAAAAAAAAUAAAAUUUUAAUUAACAGAAAAUAACAUAACCUUGUAUUCUACUUUGUGCACAACUGCAUGUUCUUUCAAUGAUUGUAUAAACAGACUACUAAUACAAAAUAUCAAUAACAGUUGCAGAAUUACAUUUUAAAAAUAAUUAUUAAAUUUUAAUAAAAGCGUUAUUUUAAAAUAACAAUCGUCAAUUUUUCAUGUAAAUUGUUAAAUAAUAAACAGUUUACAUUAAACAUUCGUUCUAUACGUGCUAAAGACUGUAUUGCUGUAUUAUAUUUUAUAAACGCGCACCAGUGCAUGUGAAUAAUAUUUUAUGCCAUCAUAUAUUUGUUAUUACAAAAUCUAUAAAAAUAAUGUUUAAUUAUCAAGAAUACGUUAAGCUUCUCCUAAAGCAUCUGCUAUUCAAAAUUUCAAUGGAAAAAGAUUGUAGCUUAGAGAAAUAUAAUAAAAAUCAUUUAUUACAUAAUUUAAGAAAAUUUAAUAAGUGUAUGUGUCUUAAAAAUAACUCAUUAAAAUUAACAAUCAACUCAUUAAAAAAUUAAGUUAAGCUAAAAGUUAUUAACUUCUUAACGUUAUUACUUAACGUUCAAUUUCUUUAACUAAUUACUACUCAACGCUGUACAUAUUAUAUAUUAUAAUACAUUAAGUGUGCAAUAAUUAUAUUAUUUUAAUAAUGAAGAUUAAUUCGAUUAGAUAUUCAUAGUAUCGCUGACAGUACUGCAAAGCAAAAUACCAUCGUGUUGAUUUUAACUCUUAAUGCAUAAUUUUGGAAACCAAAUGUGUUUCGAAUCACGAAGUAAUAAUGUAAAUCGUACAUUAUCAAACUGCGGCAGUAAUGUAACACUGAAAUUUGUUUAGCGUAACAAUGAAUGUUAUUGCGGUAAAGGAGCGCAGUUGCGUUUAUUUGGGUGUCCUUAUGACAAUUAAGCGCGACAGUCCCGUGCGUGCGCUAGUUCGCGAUAUAUUCCGUGUUUGUCUGCAACUCGCGUCGCGUCGCAACAUGCACGCGUGCAAUUUCCCAAUUACCCCGAGGCCGCGGGCGAUCGGCGCAAGUACAUACAGUCGUUCGCGCCUCAUUAAUUCGCUCCAUCUCAUUUACGCCUCCCAUCUCUUUCCACCGCUCCUCCCCCUCCUCCUCGCCACCGUUUCUCACUUGCAUACCCGUUAAUCAUUGCGCGAACUUUCGAAUCGACGCUACGCUCUCUGAUUCCGUGGAUUCUGCUUGGUCUAUUUUCAUCCCCCGCAAAAGAGAUCUGCUGCGAGAGAUGGGUACAAGCUGCUUAAAAGGGGCCGCUUCCUCUCCCGGCCAGAUUGAAAAUAUUGUAUCUUGAAAUACCUUGAAAAUGUCUUAGAAUAAUUUCAAAUCUCUUCGUAAGGUAUAGUGUAAACAUUUGUAAGUAGUCUAAACGUAGAUAAUUUAUUUAGAGAAUUUUAAACGGGGUCAGAAAGUUUCUAUACGGUUCCGAAAAAUGUUCUCCCUGUAAAAUUUUAAAAUUUAUUUGGACUUUCGUAUUUCCAUGCUUUUGCACUUGAAAAUGACGGACAUUUUAACACGGAAGAUAAGAUAAUUUUAAAAGAAAGUAGAAAUUUUAAUGUCCAAUUUUGAAUUUAUUUAGGUGACGUGUAGUUAUUUUCUUCAAUCAUAUAAAUUAAAAUGAAAAGAGUUCAGCGUGGAAAUUCUCUAAUUGACGAAUACUCGACGAUAACGCAUUAAUUAAUCUUCAUUCUGGCGGGGUAGAGAAGCAGCCGGCAUCGAAGUCGUGUUUUAUUUUGCCGCGCGGCUGCGAGAAAUUACACUAUUAUUAAAGCAAACAGAAAGCAGGCGUGUCUCACGCCACGGGUUGCUUAAUUUAAUUACGGUCAUUACCAACUUUGCGCGAGUUAUUAUAUAAGCCGGCACACAACUUGCAUUGUAAAUUAUUAACGGCACUCCAGGCGUGGCCCGGGUAGAUCGCCAAUGUGGUGGUUUAGAAUAAUUCGGCGCUCGAUAACGAGACCGCGCGGCGCGGCGGUUGGCAUUCCGCGGCAUUCCUUGAAUAGAGGUGCUCCAUUAAAGAAGCUGGAUAACAAGGGGGGGGGGGAGUUUGGUUAAAGGGGGAAGGUGCAAUUUAAAUAAGUUCGAAAAGGACUACGUAAAGGAAAGGGGUGAUAGUGGUGGCGGCGGCGGCGCGGGCGGUGCGACGUCGACUCCGGUGGGUUUAUUCAAAUUGAAACGCGACAGAAGCGGAAUGUCUGGCGUGUGCCGCGGGUUGUCAACUUUCCAUUUUAAGUUUGCUGACGUAUUGAGUCGAAGUUCGCAGCCGCGGUACUUCCCGGAACUAGUCCACCGUCCCCGGGAGAACGGGGAACCCCCGUUGCGACAGAUUGCGACCUGACGAGAAUAACGAGAGCGUACGAAGUAAUCUGAGAACGAUGAUUCGCCGAAGACAAGUCAACGACACGGUCAGGAUUCUUCUUGCGAAGUCACGAAGUCACGGCCAGCGAUAGCAUAGAUAUAUUCGCGUGUUUCUGUAUUUGUUCAUGGAGGAAAGAUUGAUCAAAGAAGUUAACAUAUUGUCGUGCCAGUAAAAUUUGUCUCUAAUAUAGGGACGGCUAAUGUACGGUAACUCAUUUUGUUAGUUGAAGUGUUGCAAAAAUAUUUGCUACUAGAAAAAAAAACUUUGACUAAAUCUAUUUUCAUUACGCAGCGCGUAGUAGAAACCAUGCAUUAAGGAUUAAAGAAACAUAGCUGAGAUUAUGCAUGUUUUGAUGUUAGUGCUUUGAAAAAUCUUUUCUAAAAAAAUAAUAAAGUUUUUAAAUUAAUUUUUAAGUAAAAACAAGCGAAUUUGUACCGUCAACAUAAAUUUAUUUAUUUUUAUCUUCAAAGCUCAGGUUUGGUGACUCGGCUUCAAGAAAUGAAAUUUAUGAGAAAGAAUCUUCUUGCAAAAUAGAAUCCUUUUAUUUUAAGACAAAAGUAAAAAAUCUCAUAAUGCUUCGCUUUUUAUUCCAUGUGUAUCUUUGCUAAUAAGAAGUACAAGAAUUACAGAAAUACUUUAUCAUGCAUCUGUUUGCGUACAAUUGUAAAUCGAAUGCUCGAUUUUACGUACGUAAGACAUUGAAGAAUAACUAUUAAUUAGCACUCUCUCUCUCGUGCUAAAGCACCCUAUUAAUUUCAGUAAAUAAAUUAGUAUUUCGUAUUUUUGUCUCGUAA